rnacentral:piRNA from 1 species
UAACCAACUGUUGAAGGCUCUGC